rnacentral:rRNA from 1 species
CCUACGGGAGGCAGCAGUGGGGAAUAUUGGACAAUGGGCGAAAGCCUGAUCCAGCCAUGCCGCGUGUGUGAAGAAGGUCUUCGGAUUGUAAAGCACUUUAAGUUGGGAGGAAGGGCAGUAAGCUAAUACCUUGCUGUUUUGACGUUACCGACAGAAUAAGCACCGGCUAACUUCGUGCC